GACGAACGCUGGCGGCGUGCUUAACACAUGCAAGUCGAGCGGUAAGGCCCUUUCGGGGGUACGACGAGCGGCGAACGGGUGAGUAACACGUGGGUGACCUGCCCUCCAGCUCUGGGAUAAGCCUGGGAAACUGGGUCUAAUACUGGAUAUGACUCCACGGUGCAUGUCGGUGGGGUGGAAAGCCUUGUGCGGCUGAGGAUGGGCCCGCGGCCUAUCAGCUUGUUGGUGGGGUGAGGCCUACCAAGGCGACGACGGGUAGCCGGCCUGAGAGGGCGACCGGCCACACUGGGACUGAGACACGGCCCAGACUCCUACGGGAGGCAGCAGUGGGGAAUCUUGCGCAAUGGGCGAAAGCCUGACGCAGCGACGCCGCGUGAGGGAUGACGGCC
rnacentral:rRNA from 1 species